AGUCGUAACAAGGUCUCCGUAGGUGAACCUGCGGAGGGAUCAUUACACAAAUAUGAAGGCGGGCUGGAACCUCUCGGGGUUACAGCCUUGCUGAAUUAUUCACCCUUGUCUUUUGCGUACUUCUUGUUUCCUUGGUGGGUUCGCCCACCACUAGGACAAACAUAAACCUUUUGUAAUUGCAAUCAGCGUCAGUAACAAAUUAAUAAUUACAACUUUCAACAACGGAUCUCUUGGUUCUGGCAUCGAUGAAGAACGCAGCGAAAUGCGAUAAGUAGUGUGAAUUGCAGAAUUCAGUGAAUCAUCGAAUCUUUGAACGCACAUUGCGCCCUUUGGUAUUCCAAAGGGCAUGCCUGUUCGAGCGUCAUUUGUACCCUCAAGCUUUGCUUGGUGUUGGGCGUCUUGUCUCUAGCUUUGCUGGAGACUCGCCUUAAAGUAAUUGGCAGCCGGCCUACUGGUUUCGGAGCGCAGCACAAGUCGCACUCUCUAUCAGCAAAGGUCUAGCAUCCAUUAAGCCUUUUUUUCAACUUUUGACCUCGGAUCAGGUAGGGAUACCCGCUGAACUUAAGCAUAUCAAUAAAAGUCG
rnacentral:rRNA from 1 species